rnacentral:tRNA from 1 species
GGGUGUGUAGCUCAGUGGUAGAGCGGCUGACUGCAGAUCACCAGGUCCUCGGUUCGAAUCCGUGCGUGCCCU